UUCUAACUGAUGUCCAGAGGGAAAACUCUGUCUCAGCCUCUCACUUCUGUGUGAUGUGCACAGACACUAGAAAGGAGUUACGGUUGCUUCUGGCCGUGCUAAGACGAGCAGAAGGGGAAGCAGUCACAGGAUGGAGUUAACGUUGUGUACGGCAGAAUUGACAAGCGUUGCUGAGCCAUGGACUCCUCCAUCUUUUGAAGCCAGCUUUAAUUCUGGACUUCCCAGCUUCCUGUUCACGUGCACUCCGGGAGGCAGCAGGAAAUGGCUCAAGGAGUCGAGUCCCUACAACUCACAUGGAAGACCUGGCUCGAGCUCCUCACUCCUGGCUUCCAACCUAGACCAGAUCCAGCUGUUGUGGGCAUUUGGUUCUGCAUUAGCAGGAAGAUGGAGUCAGGAGCCAGAGCCACGUAUCAAACCCAGGUACAAAGAUGUGGGAUGUGGGCAUAUUAAUCAGCAUCUUAAUGGCUGGGACAAAUGCCUGCCCCCAUAAUCACUCCUAUCGACCAUGCCAGGUUUGCUGGAGGAUGAAAGAAGUCUACAACUAUACUCCACUGUGCCACUCCUGUGAACACUCUGGCUGACCACUGUGACAGGCUCCCCUCUGUGUGGUGACCACAGCUUGUACAUUGUCACUUGCCUGU